rnacentral:rRNA from 2 species
UUAAGCGACUAAGCGUACACGGUGGAUGCCCUGGCAGUCAGAGGCGAUGAAGGACGUGCUAAUCUGCGAAAAGCGUCGGUAAGGUGAUAUGAACCGUUAUAACCGGCGAUGUCCGAAUGGGGAAACCCAGUGCAAUUCGUUGCACUAUCGUUAACUGAAUACAUAGGUUAACGAGGCGAACCGGGGGAACUGAAACAUCUAAGUACCCCGAGGAAAAGAAAUCAACCGAGAUUCCCCCAGUAGCGGCGAGCGAACGGGGAGCAGCCCAGAGUCUGAAUCAGCUUGUGUGUUAGUGGAACGGUCUGGAAAGUCCGACGGUACAGGGUGAUAGUCCCGUACACCAAAAUGCACAGGUUGUGAACUCGAAGAGUAGGGCGGGACACGUGGUAUCCUGUCUGAAUAUGGGGGGACCAUCCUCCAAGGCUAAAUACUCCUGACUGACCGAUAGUGAACCAGUACCGUGAGGGAAAGGCGAAAAGAACCCCGGCGAGGGGAGUGAAAAAGAACCUGAAACCGUGUACGUACAAGCAGUGGGAGCACCUUCGGGUGUGACUGCGUACCUUUUGUAUAAUGGGUCAGCGACUUAUAUUCUGUAGCAAGGUUAACCGUAUAGGGGAGCCGCAGGGAAACCGAGUCUUAACUGGGCGUUAAGUUGCAGGGUAUAGACCCGAAACCCGGUGAUCUAGCCAUGGGCAGGUUGAAGGUUGGGUAACACUAACUGGAGGACCGAACCGACUAAUGUUGAAAAAUUAGCGGAUGACUUGUGGCUGGGGGUGAAAGGCCAAUCAAACCGGGAGAUAGCUGGUUCUCCCCGAAAGCUAUUUAGGUAGCGCCUCGUGAACUCAUCUUCGGGGGUAGAGCACUGUUUCGGCUAGGGGGUCAUCCCGACUUACCAACCCGAUGCAAACUACGAAUACCGAAGAAUGUUAUCACGGGAGACACACGGCGGGUGCUAACGUCCGUCGUGAAGAGGGAAACAACCCAGACCGCCAGCUAAGGUCCCAAAGUCAUGGUUAAGUGGGAAACGAUGUGGGAAGGCACAGACAGCCAGGAUGUUGGCUUAGAAGCAGCCAUCAUUUAAAGAAAGCGUAAUAGCUCACUGGUCGAGUCGGCCUGCGCGGAAGAUGUAACGGGGCUAAACCAUGCACCGAAGCUGCGGCAGCGACACUAUGUGUUGUUGGGUAGGGGAGCGUUCUGUAAGCCUGCGAAGGUGUGCUGUGAGGCAUGCUGGAGGUAUCAGAAGUGCGAAUGCUGACAUAAGUAACGAUAAAGCGGGUGAAAAGCCCGCUCGCCGGAAGACCAAGGGUUCCUGUCCAACGUUAAUCGGGGCAGGGUGAGUCGACCCCUAAGGCGAGGCCGAAAGGCGUAGUCGAUGGGAAACAGGUUAAUAUUCCUGUACUUGGUGUUACUGCGAAGGGGGGACGGAGAAGGCUAUGUUAGCCGGGCGACGGUUGUCCCGGUUUAAGCAUGUAGGCUGAUUGUCCAGGCAAAUCCGGAUAAUCAAGGCUGAGGUGUGAUGACGAGGCACUACGGUGCUGAAGUAACAAAUGCCCUGCUUCCAGGAAAAGCCUCUAAGCAUCAGGUAACAUCAAAUCGUACCCCAAACCGACACAGGUGGUCAGGUAGAGAAUACCAAGGCGCUUGAGAGAACUCGGGUGAAGGAACUAGGCAAAAUGGUGCCGUAACUUCGGGAGAAGGCACGCUGGUGUGUAGGUGAAGCCCCUGCGGGUGGAGCUGAGACCAGUCGAAGAUACCAGCUGGCUGCAACUGUUUAUUAAAAACACAGCACUGUGCAAACACGAAAGUGGACGUAUACGGUGUGACGCCUGCCCGGUGCCGGAAGGUUAAUUGAUGGGGUUAUCCGUAAGGAGAAGCUCUUGAUCGAAGCCCCGGUAAACGGCGGCCGUAACUAUAACGGUCCUAAGGUAGCGAAAUUCCUUGUCGGGUAAGUUCCGACCUGCACGAAUGGCGUAAUGAUGGCCAGGCUGUCUCCACCCGAGACUCAGUGAAAUUGAACUCGCUGUGAAGAUGCAGUGUACCCGCGGCAAGACGGAAAGACCCCGUGAACCUUUACUAUAGCUUGACACUGAACAUUGAGCCUUGAUGUGUAGGAUAGGUGGGAGGCUUUGAAGCGUGGACGCCAGUCUGCGUGGAGCCAACCUUGAAAUACCACCCUUUAAUGUUUGAUGUUCUAACGUUGGCCCCUUACCGGGGUUGCGGACAGUGUCUGGUGGGUAGUUUGACUGGGGCGGUCUCCUCCCAAAGCGUAACGGAGGAGCACGAAGGUUAGCUAAUCCUGGUCGGACAUCAGGAGGUUAGUGCAAUGGCAUAAGCUAGCUUGACUGCGAGCGUGACGGCGCGAGCAGGUGCGAAAGCAGGUCAUAGUGAUCCGGUGGUUCUGAAUGGAAGGGCCAUCGCUCAACGGAUAAAAGGUACUCCGGGGAUAACAGGCUGAUACCGCCCAAGAGUUCAUAUCGACGGCGGUGUUUGGCACCUCGAUGUCGGCUCAUCACAUCCUGGGGCUGAAGUAGGUCCCAAGGGUAUGGCUGUUCGCCAUUUAAAGUGGUACGCGAGCUGGGUUUAGAACGUCGUGAGACAGUUCGGUCCCUAUCUGCCGUGGGCGCUGGAGAAUUGAGGGGGGCUGCUCCUAGUACGAGAGGACCGGAGUGGACGCAUCACUGGUGUUCGGGUUGUCAUGCCAAUGGCACUGCCCGGUAGCUAAAUGCGGAAGAGAUAAGUGCUGAAAGCAUCUAAGCACGAAACUUGCCCCGAGAUGAGUUCUCCCUGAGACUUUAAGUCUCCUGAAGGAACGUUGAAGACGACGACGUUGAUAGGCCGGGUGUGUAAGCGCAGCGAUGCGUUGAGCUAACCGGUACUAAUGAACCGUGAGGCUUAACCUU